UUCGAAGCAAUUUGAAGCUUCUACCAAUGGCUGUGAUUGGUCCUCCGUUAUUGCGUCUUCCCAUUUCGACCAAUCAGAUUCAUCGUUUAAGGGUUAGGUACGCGGAGUGUGGUGGAGUGCAUCAGUUCUCUUCGAAGCUUCGUCCGUUUGGCACGUGUCUGCAACAGGUAUCGGCCGAUAGCAGAAUAUACCGAACAUUGCCGAGUGUUGCCGAAGUGCCGACCGGUCUACGAUGGGAAGGAAGGUCUCGCCAUUGCUCUCUCGAGCGUCGAAGCAGUAAGACGUAUUGAGGGCGUCCUCCUGUACGGGUAGUUCAUAGAUAUUUCCUUGAUAUUGAAAAAAUGCCAUGCGAUACGAUGCCAUGGUAAUUAAUACUGGUUUGAAACACAAUUUCGUAAAGAAUUGGUAACGUUUUGAUUUAUUGUAAUCAAUUGGUAAUAUUUGUUAUUACUUUCUUUUUGUUGAGGCAUUGUUAAUUGUAAGCAUUUUUGAUAAUUAAUUAUUGGUACCAAGGUCAAGGAAGGAAAGAUCAGAGGAAUGUUUCUUUCUUUGAUCAAUUAAUAGAAAAAGGAUAAUUAAUUUUUCAUUUUAUUGAAUAAUUUUAACUAGUAGUUUCAUGCAUCUGUUAAAAAUUAGAAUUAUUUUAAACAAUCUGUUAUCGUCAAAUUGUAGUAAUUGUAUUAUAAUAUACAGCUUUCGGUGCAAGUUUGAAUUAAAAUAAAAUCACGUUAUUAAAUCUCAUGCUGUUUAAGCAUGGUUAAUUAUUGGACUUUGCUUAUUGUAAAGAAAUAGAUAAUUUAUAAAUUACGCCGUAAUAGAAUUUUCAACAAUUUUUAAUAUGCUUACAAUCUUAACAACAAAAAUCCUCUGCUUUAAUACAAUAGUCUAUUAUCUUUAUUACAAAAUGAUUUUCUAUCGAUGUAAUAUUCAUUGAAAUAAUUAUCAACAAUUAUUUAAAACAUUUCAUUUCAAUCUAGGAUCAAUAUUCAGAUUUAACAAUAUUUGUGCUCGUCGAAUAUAUUUCACGAACAUAGAUAUUUUCAUUUACAAGCCAUUAAUAACAGUAUUUCCGUUACGAACACUCAAUAAGAAGAAUGUUGUUUUGUUUAUUUCCACCCAGCCCAUCCCUGCCCACUAAGUUUUUCUUUCAGGAAUUGUUGUGGCCGCGCGCAAUGCGGUCGGUAGAGUCAGUGUUUGUACGAAUAUACUUCCAAUGUUUUGAUUUUUGCAAGGGCGAACUGGC